rnacentral:rRNA from 1 species
GACGAACGCUGGCGGCGUGCUUAACACAUGCAAGUCGAACGGUGAAGCGCCUUCCUUUUUGGUGGGUGUGGAUGAGUGGCGAACGGGUGAGUAACACGUGAGUAACCUGCCCCCUUCUUCUGGAUAACCGCAUGAAAGUGUGGCUAAUACGGGAUAUUCUGGGUCUGUCGCAUGAUGGGUCUGGGAAAGAUAUUGUUUCGGUGGGGGAUGGGCUCGCGGCCUAUCAGCUUGUUGGUGGGGUGAUGGCCUACCAAGGCGGUGACGGGUAGCCGGCCUGAGAGGGUGGACGGUCACACUGGGACUGAGACACGGGCCAGACUCCUACGGGAGGCAGCAGUGGGGAAUAUUGCACAAUGGGCGCAAGCCUGAUGCAGCGACGCCGCGUGAGGGAUGGAGGCCUUCGGGUUGUGAACCUCUUUCGCCAGUGAAGCAGGCCUGCCUCGUUUGUGGGUGGGUUGACGGUAGCUGGAUAAGAAGCGCCGGCUAGCUACGUG